rnacentral:tRNA from 1 species
GCCUUCGUGGUGUAAUGGUCAGCCCACUCGAUGCGUAUUCAAGAGGUCCGCGGUUCGAAUCCCGGCAAGGGCA